GGGCUUGUGAGGUAGCUAGGAUAUCCUGUUGGCCUUCGGAGCCGAUUACCCGGGUUCGAAUCCCGGCGAGCCCA
rnacentral:tRNA from 1 species